rnacentral:rRNA from 1 species
UACGUAGGGGGGCUAGCGUUGUCCGGAAUCAUUGGGCGUAAAGAGCGUGUAGGCGGCUCGAUAAGUCUGCUGUGAAAGUCCAGGGCUCAACCCUGGAAGGCCGGUGGAAACUGUCGGGCUAGAGUCCGGAAGAGGCGAGUGGAAUUCCCGGUGUAGCGGUGAAAUGCGCAGAUAUCGGGAGGAACACCAAUGGCGAAGGCAGCUCGCUGGGACGGUACUGACGCUGAGACGCGAAAGCGUGGGGAGCAAACAGG